rnacentral:misc_RNA from 1 species
AUUUCCUUCUUUCCAUUCCAUCCAUCCCCAGGCAAUCCAUACUGGUUGAUGCCUUGGAUCCAAUUCACUUGCUCUCCUGAAUAACACCCGUGCAAGAUUUGCAGUAGAGUGUUUAUAUUCCAGUAAAGCAAGAGAUUGAAGCAGAACAGGAUCCCUUGGAUUGAGUGAGUGGCCUAUCUUCAAAAGUUUUCUUGCCGCUUCAAUAUUGCCCAUAUUAUAUUCAAAAACUCCCCAUACGUGCCAUGCAAACCUAUUCUUGGGGCUAGCCUGCACUGCUUUCUCAAAUAGUUGCCUAGCAGCAAGGUUGUUUUCUUGUUGCAUCUCCAAUUGUGCCCAUGCAAGCCAACUGGCACAGCUUUUUGGGUUAUACUUAGUGGCUUGCCUGAACAAGUAACGGGCUUGCUCAUAUCGAUUUGCUUUAGCUUCCAACAAUGCUAGUGUUUGGUAUAUGUACUCAUUUCCACCAGAAAACUUAAGGCCUUUGGCAAGUAAUUGUCUUGCCUUCUUGACAUUUCCC